GUCUCAAUCUCUUGACCUUGUGAUCUACCAGCCUCGGCCUCUCAAAGUGCUGGGAUUACAGGCUUGAGCCACCGGCCUGGCCUGUGAAACUAUUUCUAAUGACUCCAAACCUUCAACAAACAUGCAGCCCUUCCCAGGUGUUAUGUGCUAUGCAUUACUCUAGGUGCUGGGUGAACCAGACAAUGAAGUAUGAGGCCUGCCCUUAGGAGUUCAGUCACAUGGGAGAUAGCAUCAUAAGCCAACAAAUACCAUGGGGUGUGAUUUAGGCUCUGAUGGAGGUGAACGCAGGGUCCUGUGGGACCCCUGAUGAGGCCUAACCCAGGCUGGUAGCAGGCAGCAGGAAGCAUCCUAAAAAGUGAUGUGAAAAGGCCCUGAUGGCAUGUUCCUCUUUUUUUUUUUUUUUUUG
rnacentral:lncRNA from 10 species